ACAUUAUCUCCAGCCAUUGCUUCAUCCAAAAUCUUCUGAAACAUAUCAACCCCAGUCACGGUGGUCGUCCUAGUAUCCCUUAAUCCUACAAUAUCAACGGUAUCUCCAAUCCUAACAGUCCCUCUCUCUACCCUCCCUGUAGCCACUGUACCUCUACCAGCAAUCGAAAACACAUCUUCAAUAGCCAUCAAGAAAGGCAACUCAGUUUGUCUUACUGGAAUAGGAAUAUAACUAUCAACAUUAUCCAUUAACUCAUAAAUCUUAUCAACCCAUUGAUUUUCACCUCUCUUAAUACUAGGAUUCGCCAUUAACGCCUCUAAAGCCAAAAGAGCAGAACCCGAAACAAUCAGAAUGACACGUGGUGUGGCAUAACUCAGGGAUGAAAUACACGUGGUGUGGCAAGGAAACAGAAGAAAAAUGUGGACAUAACAAGAUUUACCAUCACGAAUGACAUCAAACAGAAACUAUUUGAAGAAAUGUUUCUCUAUAAUUCGUGAGUCUCAAUAACAGUUGUGCAUGUUUGACAAAACAAAAUGACAGCAAAGCUGCAGUUGAUAGGGGCCCAUAAGAAAAAGCUCACUUCAACGGCUCGACUUACACCAAUUAAAACAGUAAAUAUCAAACUAUAUUUAACAAAUUACAUGCAAUGAUUUGAUAUUCACCAGAUCUUACAAAUCCAUUAUUUGUCCAGAAAGACAUAACUAAAACUGUCAAAUCCAGAGGCAUCAAACACAGUCAUUCAUUGACUCAGCCUAGUAAAACCUCCAUGCUAGUUACAAUAUCCAGCGACAACAUCUUUGAAGCACAGUUAAAGCAACAAACAUGAAAAUGACAGCCAAUGUGAGCAUCUUUCAAGCAUUAUUACAGGAACCUAUGUAGCUCAGACUCUUCAAAAAUGUCAUCGAGAGUCCGAGCAACUUAGACGGGAACAAGCACGAAGGACGACACAACAGACAAUCUCAUUCUGAGGUUAAUAAGCAAUAGGUAAAUGACAUUAUUUUGUCGGGUAACUUCUCAGUAGGUCAUCUAAAUACAUAAGACCAAUGUUGACAAGUUCUGACAUAGAACCAACUGGCCAUUCACAGAUAGUUCUACUCAGGGAUUAUAGACAACAACUGAGAAUAACAAUUAAGCAUCACUAAACAAAUUCUAAUGAGAUUCUACUACAUACUACUCACACGGUGAUCUCAUGUCCAUCAAUUCUAGUUUCUAAACAGCAUAUUUGGUUUAAAAUAAAAUAUCUCGGUUUUCUUUUUCUUUUCUUUUCUUUUUUGGGUGUUGCCUAACAGCAUCAAUUCGUCAAAACAAACAUCAAACGCACCUAUAACUUCAUUGGCAUGUUAAAGUUGAGUUUCAAACAAAAGUAUGAUUUUUUCCCGAGGGAAACUAAAGGUACACAAGAUACAAAUGUUCUUCUCCCUUUCAAACAAAUGAAAACUGAAGCACGAAACUAAAGCAAUCUCACAAAGGUGCACACUAGCAUUGACUUAUAACAAGAUUUCUCCAACUAACCUAGGAUCUAAAAGAAAAAAGGUAACCAGAAAGUUGCAUAUAUGACAAGGAAUUAAAAAUAUUGCAUGACAGGGGCCGGACCACUUUGAAGGGAAAUGCACAGCUGCUCAUUGAUCACUCAAUAAUUUUCUGAAUGACGCCAGCUCCAACAGUCUUUCCUCCUUCCCUGAUGGCAAAUCUCAUCCCUUGCUCACAAGCCACGGGCAUAAUGAGCUCAACCACCAAGUUCACACGAUCACCAGGCAUGACCAUCUUAGAUUCUUCUCCUUUGUCAGUGGUAAUGGAAGUAACCUUCCCGGUCACAUCGGUUGUCCUCAUAUAAAACUGAGGCCUGUAACCCGAAAAGAACGGGGAAUGCCUGCCACCCUCCUCCUUUUUCAGGACAUACACAAGAGCUUCAAACUUGGUGUGAGGAGUGAUCGUUCCAGGUUUUGCCAACACCAUUCCUCUCUGAAUAUCAACCUUCUGAAUACCUCUCAACAAUAACCCCACAUUAUCUCCAGCCAUUGCUUCAUCCAAAAUCUUCUGAAACAUCUCAACCCCAGUCACGGUAGUCGUCCUAGUAUCCCUUAAUCCUACAAUAUCAACGGUAUCUCCAAUCCUAACAGUCCCUCUUUCCACCCUCCCCGUAGCCACUGUACCUCUACC
rnacentral:lncRNA from 1 species